UACAGAGGAGCCAAGCGUUGUCCGGAUUGACUGGGCGUAAAGCGCACGCAGGCGGUUGCGCGCGUGGGGGGGGAAAUCUGGCCGCUUAACGGCCAGGCGCCAUCCCAUACGGCGCGACUGGAGUGAUGCAGAGGUCGAUGGAAUUGCCGGUGUAGUGGUGAAAUGCGUAGAUAUCGAGAGGAACACCUGCGGCGAAGGCGGGUUGCUGGGCUGAUACUGACGCUGAUGCGCGAAAGCCAGGGGAGCGAACGGG
rnacentral:rRNA from 1 species